GGACGUGGAACAAAGCGGAGACUGUUCUUCUUCUGUGAUAGAGCGUGCAGGAGAUGUGAGACAGGCGAGGACGGAGAUGACAGCUUAUUUGAGGAGAACGAUGGAGACGGAUCGAGAGAUGGAGAAAUAAAGGGCGAGAGAUCGGAGAGAGAUUCUCUGACAGACAGUUUAAGGACCGGAAAGACUGCGGCUGGAUGGAAUUAAAGUAGAGGAAGAGACACACGUUUAUUUUACCACUGCAGUGCAGCAGGUUUCAGUGUGACGCCGUCAUCACAGACGUGGAGCUGCGCGCUGGGUCACCGAUCACCUCCAGCCCUGCUGUGGAAAAAAGACAUCAGAAAGCCGAUGUGCGUCCAUACUUCCCUGCGACCUGACUGGAGACGUUUCUGUCUCUGAUCUGGAGCAGCCGGCGGCCUAGUCCGCACCGGCGUGGGGGAAAUACGACCGAUUCAACUGAGCAAACGUGGAAAACGAACGUGAUUACAACGACUGAGACUAUUCAUCAGUAUUCAUCGAUACCGGAACAUUUUUAUUUAUCUCUGUUUAUGCCGGUUCCCGUGUGCCGCAAGCAAUGAACUCCUCGCGCUGAGACGCCAGCAGCUUGUGAGCAUAGAUUUUGCGGGGGCAGGACGACAUUAAUAACAACAUAACCUCAAACAAAAUGAAGUCUCGAGGCUCUCUCACUCGACUGAUGUUAUAGUAACCCCAUAACUGAGAAUCAACAACAUUCAGCCAUGCAGUGUACAGUCUAACAGCUUGUUUUGAGUGGGUUUUCAGACUGACCUUUGUUCAACGGCGUUCAUCGACCAAGGUUGACACGUUUUUGUUUUGUUUUUUCAGGAAAAUGUCUGGCAAAAUGUCUUAAAAUCCACACAAUAGACUUCAA